rnacentral:rRNA from 1 species
AUAAAAAACCAAUGCCCUUUUGGGCUCCUUGGUGAUUCAUAAUAACUUAACGAAUCGCAUGGCCUUGCGCCGGCGAUGGUUCAUUCAAAUUUCUGCCCUAUCAACUUUCGAUUGUAAGAUAGAGGCUUACAAUGGUCUUAACGGGUAACGGGGAAUUAGGGUUCUAUUCCGGAGAGGGAGCCUGAGAAACGGCUACCACAUCCAAGGAAGGCAGCAGGCGCGCAAAUUACCCAAUCCCGAUACGGGGAGGUAGUGACAAUAAAUACUGAUACGGGGCUCUUUCGGGUCUCGUAAUUGGAAUGAGUACAAUCUAAAUCCCUUAACGAGGAACAAUUGGAGGGCAAGUCUGGUGCCAGCAGCCGCGGUAAUUCCAGCUCCAAUAGCGUAUAUUAAAGUUGUUGCCGUUAAAAAGCUCGUAGUUGAACCUUGGACCUGGCUGAUCUGUCCUCCUAAUCGAGCGCACGGAUUCGGUCGGGUCUUUCCUUCUGGGGAGCCCCAUGCCCUUCACUGGGUGUGGC